rnacentral:lncRNA from 1 species
GGCCUGACCUCCCAGCAUGCACCUGCCUCUCCCUGCACCCCAGCUGUCCACGCUGCCUGUUCCCUCACUUUCUCCAUCCUGUCCAGCAGGAUAGGAUGGGCAGGAGGACAGCCUGUGUGCACAUUUCAUGGCAAGUAGGAGUGACACACCAUCCCUGGGAGGCGCCUUGGUUCCUCCCAAACCCGGCCCCAGAACUCUGUCCCUGGGGUGGUUUUACCAAACCCCAAACCCAGAACUGUGGUUGUGGCUCAGGGGUCAGUGCCGGGACACUACUGGGAGGCUGGGACCUGACCAAAGCCCAUGGUGUCUGUGGCCUGAGGACAGGGUGUCUUGGGGCCAUAAGGACGGCCACAAGUUGCCAUUGGGUCACAGGGGCUCAGCCCCAGUGUUUGUCCUUCCCCGGCUCCUUCCCAUCAGUGCCCUGGAGCCCAAGACCAAGCAUCCAAGGUUCCCUCCAGGAAUCCUGGUGGCUCAGCUUACUUUGUCAUGUUUCAUCUGGGAGCAAAAAUGUCAGAUCGGAUGCACAGAAAAAUGGCUCAACAUGCUUAAUGACUAGAAGAAAUCUAGGAGCAGCAAGAAGGUAAUGUGGAGAGGGGAGGACCUCCAUGGCACCUCCAUGACCGGUGUCUGCAGAGCCAGGGGUACAGGCACCCAGUGCUGUGGCCUGGCACCACCUCUCAGAGGGUGGGUAGCACACUCUCCUUACCUGGGGGACAGCAGGCCUGGUCACCAGCUUUUGUACCUGUCUCUGCAAGCAUUGCAUUACUGGAAGAGAAUGUCAUGCCAGAGCUUGGACCAUGCCUUGCUCAGGGGUUAGGGGUUGUCUCUUGGUGACCUAAAUGAAAAAAUAGCUCCAGAUCAUAGUUCCACAGAGCCCAAGGCCGGAAACCUCCAGAAUCCUCUGGCCCCAGAUCCUCCGGCCCCAGAUCCUCCCCAGGGACCCCUGUGGCCUAUCUCACCAGAGCAUUCUUCCAUCUGUAGAUUUCUUGGCUGCUCCACAAGGGAGUCCCACUUCAGAUGUGGUGCUGGGCAUGGUCACUCCUGCUGGAUGUUUAGAAGGUGGAAAGCAAGGACCUAGGGAAAUACCAGGUACACCCUUUCCACCCUCAUCCAGAGCAGGACAAAGAGGCCAGGCGUUGUCAGGAGCCCAGGUCUCCAGCUGGAGGGAACGUCAACCCUGCAGUGGGAGCAGGGGCCCAUUGCACAUCCUAGGCAGAGAUGGUAACGUAGGCACCACAGGUAUGCAGGGAUUGGUACCCCUCCCUGGCAUCAGAAAGAAGCCAAACAAGGAGCUUUCUGCAGAAUGAAACCUUCUUUCCUUUCAGAAGCACUGCUGACUGUUUGGUGGUUGCCACUGGGGCAGUGAGCCUUUGGUCCAUUCUGAGGUUGGGCUGGUUUCUCCUCUUGGCCCUCCCCUACAGACCAUAAAGGAAAUCAGCAAGAAGUCCCCAGCAAACAUCCACAGAUGGCCCUGGACAUCAGCCACAUUCUGAGAAACAUGUCAUGUUCUGGGAGGGCUAAGGCAUCAAGUAAGGCCUAUGGGGCUGGAGGAUCCCAGGCAGGUGGGGCAAUCCAGAGCCAUGGGGGCUUCCCAUGGGAAUUGGGAGGUCCCAAGGCAGAUGCAGGGGUUCCACAGGAGGAGUCCCAGAGCCACCAAGCUCUAUCCUUUCCCAGGGAGCAGUCAACACCAUGGACUGAACUCUUAAUGGGCUUCAAGCUCUGGGCCAGGCUGGGGCAUGUGGGGCCAUGAGGGAGCUCAGAGUGGGAGACAGAGAGACAAGUGUGCUCAGAGGGCACCCAUUUCUGGGUGUAAUGUGGUCUUGAGAUUUUGGCUAAAAAGUGUUUCCAGGGUUUCAUAUGUGUUAUGGAGCUGCUUCCUCUCCCCAGCCUCACCUUGCAGGAAUCCCAGUGAAUAUAUUGCCACCCUAUUUGAGCUCAGUGCCCUCAUAGUGUAAUGGCACCAGCAGAUCUGCCUGUGCAUGGACUUCCUGUACUACCCAUUCCUGACGGUGAUGCUUCUGCAGGGCCUGUGACCUGGUGCACAACUUUAGACACCAUCAUCCUGGAGCAGCACUGCACCCUCACUAGCCAGGGUGUUCAUGACUUCCUCAAGGCCAAGGCCACGUUCAAGACUUAAGACUUCAGUGAUGCACUUAUGCUGGGCAAGGUGGCUUCUCGGGUAUCUUAAUUUGGGAGGUAGAAUGCAGCUUGAGAUCAAAUGUCUGAUCAAAGAACUUGAACUUGAUCUGGAGGGCUCUGGGGAGCCAUGGAAGGUGCUGGAUAAAGGAGGGACAGUCAGAUAUGUUUUAGAGAUGACUGUAGAAGGCUGCCUGGAAGGAGUGAACAAGAGCCAGGAGACCCGGGAGGGAGCUUGUGGGGCAGGUCUGGAGAUGGCAAGGGAGGGAUUCUGCUUGGAUGAAAAGUCUUCAGGGACUGUCUCAGGUUACACUCAGGUGCCCUCAGAGCUAAUGUGUUCAGAGGUCUUGUCUCCAGGAUGAAAAUGGGAAGGAGUUGUCAGAUGAGGACAUAUAAAUGGAGGCUGACAUCUUCAUGAGUACCAGUGGUGGUCCCGGUGUGGGUCUCUCCAUCCAGGGACAUGGUGGAUGGACACUACAUCACUCCAUUCUGCCCUUCCUUUCCCUCCUCCCAUUCUCCUGAGGGCCUCAGUGCAUGGGCGCUGUCCAACCUCUGGUGCUGAAGCAGCCAAGAGACCCAAGACUGCGUGGCUGCCUCUUAGGAUAUGACAGCACAGCCACUGGCCUCUACUGAAUCCUAUGCAACCUCAGAAGACACCCAGGAGUGAUGCCAUCAUGUGGUGCAAGAGUUCUGAGGGACCGCAAUCCUGAAGACAUUGAAUGGCUGUGUUCCUGCUUAUUGCUGGAGGCACUGUCAGGGGCCCUGUCCUCAACCCUGGGUCUGACCCUUGCAGCUCAGGCAGGACAUUCUGGAGGAAUCAUGCCCUUGGAAGGAUCCCUGAGGAGUGACUGCUCAACUGAUCUGGGAUCUCUACUAAGAUGUUGGCAGCCCAGCCAGCUGGUCUGGCCCUGGACGUGCCUUCAUGGUCUGGUUAUGCUUCAUGACCUGCACUGUGGUCAGUGGUAAGCAGCACCUGCUUCUAGCUUUACUGUUGGGUCAGAUUUUAUCUGCACUCCAGCUCUGCAGUGCGGCUGCUUCUUGAUUCAUCCAUGGACCCUUCACGAAAUUGCCCCAUGUUUCUGUUUGUGCAUCACUGAAGAAGGAAGCACGAAGGACGCACAGGUCAGGCCAUUCCAUUGCCCUCCUGGUGCUGGGUUUGCCCUCCCAAUCCUGGGGUUGCUUCAGGGGCUGGUCGUUCUCCAUAGCCCCCUCCACAUUUCUCAGGUUUCUGCUCAAAAGUCACCUUUCGGAGGGGUCUCCACCUGUCACUGUGUUUGUAAGAGCUCCUUCGGUUUCUUUCUAGCUCAUCUCACUCUGGUAAUGUCUUUGAUUAUCACCACCAUCUGACCUGGUCUUAUGACCUGUUAGCUUCCUUCGUCAGACGUGAGCACCAGGAUGGCAGGGGCCUCAUCUGUCCUGUUCCUCCUGUGGCCUGGGUCGUAGCACCAUGUCUGGUACAGUGUAGAUGCUCAAGGGAAGUUUACUUUGUAGAACUGUUUACCUGGGAGAUGUUACUGUUAGUCUAACCUGUACCAUUUUGUAAACCUCCAGCCAUUUUGCAGACUCUGAUCACAGUGAAACGUUCCAUGGGAACUUGGGCCAUGAGAAACAUCCUUCCUAACCACGUGACUGCAGAAACAUCCUUAUCGCAUCUUCCUGGGCAAAGGCCCAACAGCCUGACUGCAGGGACAUCCUUGCCAUAUCCUGCUGGGCAGCAAGCUCUACCACCCAGAUCCCUCCCUCCCAGUCCCAUGAUUACCCCAGCCUGUGAGCGGCAAUUGGUGCUGGCACUAAGCUGGUUUCCUCCUCCCCAGGGUUUUGCUGGCAAUAAAGAUGUUGCUGUUGAAGCCAC